rnacentral:SRP_RNA from 2 species
GCCAGGUGUGGUGGUGUGCGCCUGUAGUCCUAGCUACCUGGGAGGCUGAGGUGGGAGGAUUGCUUGAGCCCAGGAGUUUGAGGUUAUGGUGAGCUACGAUUGUGGCACUGUACUCCACCCUGGGCAACAGAGUGAGACCCUGUCUCAU